UGCUUGAUUUAGCACAGGGAGAGAAGUAUGCAUCUUUUUGAGAUUCUAAUUUCUAACAUCUAUUGAUUUUUGGAAUAUAAGGUUUUUGAGAGGAAUAUUCAUUUCUCGAAUCUUCUGUUCAAUAGACAUAAAUUUUAAAUCCAUUUCUUUGAGUCUGUCCACGACAACCAUAUCACAGGAAGAAUCCAUCUUUGUCUUGUUAUAUUUGCAUUUUUUUAGAAAUGUUGCUUUAUGCUUAAUUACUAGCACUGAUGCAAUUACCAAAAAAGAAAAUGAAUAAAUAAAGACAUAGGUUAAAAUUGAAGGCUUACAGCAAAACAAACUCAAAAGUCAAGCCACACCUAACUAAUCUACGGAAAAAAUGAUGCAAAUGAUCAUAAGAAGUACCUUUAAACUUCAAUUCUUAACAUUGAUAACUGGAAAUGUGUAGAUUAUCCUUGUGGUAGUCUUUACAAGUAGGAAAGGUAUCAAAUAUUUCGAAAACAAAUGGCGACUAAUCUUUCUGCCUCUUUUCCAAUUUGUCCCAAGAACCAUCUGAAUCUAUGUGUUAUGUAAGAAAUUUUCCAGGAAUGUUGCUCCUAAUGACAUAACAGGAACCGGGCAGUUCAGAGGCACAUUCAAUUUCCUUCUCUUCAUUCUUGCCAGUCAUGUGUUUGGAGCAUUUUGGUACUGCUUCUCAGUUCUAAGAGAACUGUAUUGCUGGCAAAGUGCAUGCAAAUUUAACAGUGGAUGCAGAGUGAAUUCAUUUUUUUUGUGAGGAUAUCACAGGCAAUGAACAGUUUGUUGAUAAGUUUUGCCCUAUCAAUCCACCUAAUUCAACAAUAUUCGAUUUUGGCUUAUUUCUUAAUGCCCAUCAAUCUGGUGUCACGAGGGUAAAUGAUUUUCCCGUAAAGUUAUUAUAUUGCUUCUCUUGGGGACUACGUGCAUUAAGCUCAUUUGGGUCAAACCUGACUACAAGUAGCUAUGCAUGCGAAAACAUCUUUGCUACUCUCGUUACCAUUGUUGGGAUACUUCUAGUUGUUUAUCUUAUCGGCAACUUGCAGGUAUAUCUACAAUCCUCAACUUUAAGAUCAGAGGAGAAACGAAGGACAAUGGAAAAAAAAAGGCGUUGAAAUUGAUUUUUGGAUAGAUUAUUAUAAAUUCCAGAAGAAGAAGGAAAUCAAAGAGUUUGUAAUAGACAAGUUUGAAUGGCAAAAUGAUGUAAAUUUGAAAACACUGCUCGACGUGUUUCCAUCUCCAUUCGUUGAGGAGAUAAAGAAAGAACUUUGCUGGGAUAUCCUAAAAGGGGUUCCAAUGCUUAAGGAAUUUGAAGAGGAGAAGUUAAAAAAGAUGAUGAAAGAUAUGAAGCCAAUGGUUUUUGGAGAGCAGAGCUAUAUUAUUCGAGAGGGGGAGCCUAUUGAGCAGAUGCUAUUGUUCACAAAAGGUAUGGGAUUGACAUUUAGCAAGAGCACUGGAACUAGAACAACGAUUAACACUUUUGGAAAAUGUGAUUUGUUUGGGGAGCAACUAUUGGAUUGGGCAGCAGGAAAUCUUCCUACAUUUGAAAUUCCUUUGUCCAAAUGUACUCUCAAGACACAGACUCAAAUGGAAGCCUUUUCUCUCAAGGCUAUCAAUCCACAGUAUCAUACCAAGUGGGACAAAAAUAUGUAUAGGUUAAGUUAAAAUUUAAUCCCGCUUGAACUUUAUGUUUGUGUUCCUAUGUUAUAAACUAAUUUAAAACGACUAGAAAA